rnacentral:lncRNA from 1 species
GGUAAUUUGGUCUUUGUUUUCCCUGAAGAUAAUCAUGAGUGUCUUUUCCUCUUCGUUUCACUUGUUUGAUUCAAUUAAAAUGCCAGGGCCCGUGACCCUGAAUACCCCGGUGACUCCCCACCACACAACACGUCAGUGGUCUAGAAAAUGGUGUUCUGAAGACACAGACAGGGAUUCAAGAGUCUGAAGGAAGCUAGGAAGAGGCAGGUUGGCAGGCUCAUCUCAGAAUAGAUGAGACCAGACCGACUCUGGUCUGAAGUCCUGGCGUCAACCCAGCUCUGAAUCCACUAGCUGUGAGGUUUUGGGAAAAUGAAUCAACCUCUCUGUUACUGUUUCCUCAUUUUUCUCUCUAGCAUAAUACCAGCCCCCUCAGAGAGCUUUUAUGAGGAUUAAUUGAAUUGACAUAUAAGUGCUGUCCAUGAAUUAGCCAUUAUUACUACUAGUUGUGUGGCCUAGGAAAGAUCUCUUUGCCCCUCUAAGCCUCAGUGUGCUCGUUGGUAAAAUGGAGGUGAUGAUAUCCCUGUGCAGUGGGUUAAAAGCCUCUCCUCAAAAAAAGCUAUGAUUGUAUUUGGGAAAAGGACUUUGAAUAUAUAAUUACUAAAGGAUCUGAAGAUGAAAUUGCCCUGGAUAUCUGGGUGGACCCUAAUUCCAACAGCAAGUGUCCUCUAGACAAAGGCAGAGGGUGAUUUGAGGCCCAGGAGAUGAUGGGCGAGGGCUGGGGCAGGGGUGGGUGUCACAGAUACAAGCCCAGGAAUGCCAGAGCCACCAGAUGCUGGAAGAGGCACAGAAUGCUCCCCCAGUGGCCUCUGGAGGUAGCGUGGCCUUGUCCUCCCUGCUUUCCCACCUCUGGCCUCCAGGACCAUAGCAAAAGUACCACGGUGUCUUGAGCCAUGUUCGGAGUCAUCCGUCCCAGCAGCCACAAGGACCCACGAGGAGCUGACACACCCCCUCCUAGGACCGCGCAGGCACAGGCGAGGUCCCAGGUGUGCACAGCCAGGAAUGAUCUUCGUUGUUCCCAUCCCUGCCCUGGGCCUUGGUCUCCCCCAUAAAACGAUGAUACAAGGUCGGGCAAAGGUGGCUGAGCUUUGCCGCCUGGCACCGGCUCUGCCACCGCCGACUCCUUCACAAGGCAGGAGGACUACCUGAUUCUCCAUCUCCCUCACCCUCCUCCUCACUCCAGGGUGCCCGACAGGCAGGGUGUCGCAUUCAAGGGCCUUCGCCUAGCUGUGUCCACUGCAGAGGACAAUGGGCUCUGGAUGGUCACCCUCUGGCUCUUCCCACAUGAAGGAAGGCUGCAAUCGACUCUGUCACUCUCUCCAGGACAUGGUGGCCCAGGUGACAUUUUAGGAGUUGUGAUAUCUUCCUCCUCCCACUCAGGGCUCAAUGCGGAGGAAACCCUUAAGAAAACCAUAUAAAUAUUUAAGCCAGAGUUAAUAACUGAGAGGU